ACAGAGGGUGCAAGCGUUGUCCGGAAUUACUGGGCGUAAAGGGCGCGUAGGCGGUUUGGUAAGUAGGGGGUGAAAGGUCACGGCUCAACCGUGACACGGCCUCCUAAACUGCCAGACUUGAGCAUGGUAGAGGCAGAUGGAAUUCCCGGUGUAGCGGUGGAAUGCGUAGAGAUCGGGAAGAACACCAGUGGCGAAGGCGGUCUGCUGGGCCAUUGCUGACGCUGAGGCGCGAUAGCGUGGGGAGCAAACAGG
rnacentral:rRNA from 1 species